AGACCUGGCGGCGGCCUCAUACAUGCAAGUCGAGCGAUUAAAGCUCCUUCGGGAGUGUAUAAAGCGGCGAACGGGUGAGUAACAGGUGGAUGAUCUGCCUCCCGGUGGGGGAUAACGGCUGGAAACGGCCGCUAAUACCGCAUUCGGUUGUUGCGUUGCGGCGCAGCAAAGAAAGGCGCUUCACGGCGUCGCCGGGAGAUGAGUCCGCCCCCCAUUAGCUAGUUGGUGGGAUAACAGCCCCCCAAGGCGACGAUGGGUAGCCGAGCUGAGAGGUUGAUCGGCCACACUGGAACUGAGACACGGUCCAGACACCUACGGGUGGCAGCAGUAGGGAAUAUUGGACAAUGGGCGAAAGCCUGAUCCAGCCAUGCCGCGUGAGCGAAGACGGCCUUCUAGGUUGUAAAGCUCUUUUCUGAGGGAAGAAUUUCCGGGGUAGGAAAUGCCCCCGGCUUGACGGUACCUCAGGAAUAAGGAACGGCUAACUCCGUGCCAGCAGCCGCGGUAAUACGGAGGUUCCAAGCGUUGUUCGGAAUUACUGGGCGUAAAGGGAGCGUAGGCGGACAGGUCAGUCUAAAGUGGAAUCCCGGGGCUCAACCUCGGACGUGCUUCGGAUACUGCCAGUCUUGAGUUCGCGAGAGGAAGAUGGAAUUCAGGGUGUAGCGGUGAAAUGCACAGAUAUCCUGAGGAACACCGGUGGCGAAAGCGGUCUUCUGGCGCGAAACUGACGCUGANGCUCGAAAGCGUGGGUAGCAAACAGGAUUAGAUACCCUGGUAGUCCACGCCGUAAACGUUGUAUACUAGGUGUAGGANGUAUCGAC
rnacentral:rRNA from 1 species